GGCAGGAUCCCAGUGUCAGCUGUGUCUGAUCUGCCCCUGACCAUGUCUUGUACACAACACUCUGCCUCCAUCCUGCCUCCAGCAGGAAACAUCCCAAAAAUCUGAUCUCAAGCCUUGAACAUUAAGCAUAGCAAAAAUACAGCUCUUGAAGGCAACCUGAAUCAUUUACCAUAAGUCACUUCUGAGGUGACUCAAAUAACAUCUCCCCUGCAAUGAAUUCACACCCCACUGCCAACAGGGUGCCAGAGAGACUUGCUUAUGGGCACAGAGUACUUUCUCCAAAGCAGACAGGAGCCAUCUCCCAUAAAUCAUCGUACAGCAGACACACCAUCUGCAAUAACAAAUGAGACCUCUGAGGCAUCUUUAAAGUCUUGGGUUUGCUACAUUAAGUUUAAGGCAUAUAGAUGUGUCUUUGGUAGAAGAAAAUUUUCCAGCAGCAUACGACUGUGCAUGCCACUAUUCAGGGAAUGAAGAGAUCCUGCCACACUGCUCUAAUUAAUAGAGGCUCAGUAUCUCCAGCCCACGGCCAACUGGACAAUUGAGGCUGCCCUCUCCAACUACUGCUUUGGAAGUUUAGGGCACAUUCAGAUGAAGCAGCUUACAGCACAGCAAAAACACUAUAAAGCAAAAAGUGAAAGCAAGCUAAGCGUGCCUGAGUUGCUCUGCAUUUGCUCCCCUGCCCCAGUGUUCUGCACUCAUGCUAUGGAUUAGCUGAUUUUCUCACUAUGCACUGCACUGACUUGUGCAUACAGGUGAGCUCAAGCUACAUAUUUUGAGAAUAAUGCACUAUUCUAUCUCUGUGAAAUCUGUCUUUAGCUAUUAACUAUGCAUGGUACUUUCACAAUGCAUGUACUUGGGAGGAAUUUUCAUCCCCACAAGCCCUCUGCACUAACAGCUUUCAAACCUUGCAUGGAGUGUUUUUCAGGGUGGCAAGAAAACAGAACAACCUGCUGUCCCCAGCCAGAUCCAGGACAAGAGGAAAAUUUCAGGGCUUCUGAAGCUUGCUGGCAAAUAUCCCAAGGGCCUAACAGUGCUUCACUGCAUACAGCCACAUCUGAGCAAUUCACUGGAAGGCAGCAGAAGACUACAACACACCAGAGAAGCCAGAAUUGCUCAUUUCUGAAACUCCACUCCUCAAUUGUGCCAUAAAUGGCUUUAAUGUAUUUCUGAAUGGCAAAUACAGAAGAAAUGGAACAACUCUCCUUGAGUCAAUGAUAGCUCCGAUAAAAGAUAAAGCUGAGAUUUUACUCUUAUUCUUUAACAAUCA